AGCUUCUCUCGCCACCCCCUCCUCCCCCCCAGCGUCGAGCGGAAUAGGCUCGUGCUCGUCGCGCCAGCCUUUGUGUGAGAGCGCGCGGGCGCCACACACCGGGGGGGGAGGGGGCGCCGGGCAGGCCGAGUCGGACGGGCGUGAUGCGGCCGAUGGCUUUCUGGAUACCAUGAUCAGCAGUGGAUUUAAUAUUUUAUAUAUCCAGAUAUGUCUUGAUCUCUCUCCCAUAACUCAUUUUAAUGUGAGCAUGGAAGAAUAACCCAGCUAGAGGCUGCUUUUCAAGUCUCAUCCUCUCCAAGCCACAACAGGAACAUAUCUAGGCAGUGUGGUGGUGGCAGAGGCUGUUGGUGCCCUGGAUUUUUCCUCCACAUUCUUUGCCCAGAGUGAGGGUCUCUGUUUCUGACCAUGAUGAAAACUGAAGGCAAAGGGGAAAGGACUCUGAGAAGCGCUUCUCCACACAGAAAUACUUAUAAAUCUGAUUUCCAUGCCAUCAAGUGCUCCUUCGAUGGGGUGAACAUCCCUGAAAAUGCUUCCAACAAAGUGGGCCCCCAACAGAAGCUGAACACCACCUCCAGUGGAGGGGGGAAUGACCCACUUAGCCGCGGCAGAGCUGCCACCUACGGCAACAGAGUACACAAGAUCAAAAACAUGUUCCUGCAGAUGGGGGGCUCCUCUGUCACACCACUGUGUGAAAGUAGCUCCCCCACUGAGGCCAAGAUCAUCAGCAGGGCAGUACCAACCGAUCUUGUACCUUCUCCCAGCAGCCCAUCUUUCCACAGUGUCCAAAAAAAUAACCUCCUUAAUACCAGCCCCUGCUGCAGCCCUCUGGACCCACUGCCUGUGUCUUCCACGGGUGACAAAAUCAUCCGCAGCAAAGAUGACGGAGAUCUGGACAAAGCUGCCCUGGCAGAAAAGUUUUCUGAGACCAGGAAACUUUUCGAGAGGAACAUAAAGCAGCGGAGCUCGGUGGACAGAUAUUCUCCCAGCAGAUGUGAAAGAAGUGAAGAUAAGACGAGACGUGGUUCAGCCUCUCCUGACUGCAGCAGUGUGGUGGAUCAUUUUAAUUUCAAUUUCAAUAUAGAUGUGAUCCCUCAUCCAGCUCUGGAAAGAGCUGAAAGUCAAGGCAAUGAUGAGCACAGGCAGCAGCAUCUCAGUUGUGGCCCGAGAUCCUCCUCCUUGAAUGCAGGACCAAUUUCUAGGAGGCUGGAAAGUUUUCUUGGUGACAGUGACACUGAAGAAUCCAAAGAAAUUUACAAGAGUGAGAGUGCCCCAAGUCAAGGGUAUGUGCUCCCCUAUAGCUGUGAGUCACCUGCUGCUAUUCAAGGAUGCACAGAGGAGAGCCCAUGCCCCAAAGAACCUGUUUGUCUCAGUAGUAGCAGCAGGGAUGAGCUGAGCCAGUCACCUGAAGAAGUGCGUACAAGGGAGCAAGUGGCUCCUGGGUGGGGCCAGCUGGAUGUGAACAACACAUCUGAUAAGGAGGCCAAGAGGUUAGCGGACAGUGCCCCCCCACAGGUCUCCCAGGUAGAGAUGGUUCAGGCUGAACUGGUUGCGGUGCACAAAGAAACCUCAGGGAAUAAAGAAGAUACCUUGAGGAAAGAUAGUGUCUUUCAUGGGGAACAACCACUCAGGCACCAAACUGGGGAAGAGAACAAUCAUUCAUUUGGAGGACUGGAAGAGGUUACGGUAUGCAGUGAGCCCAGUCAGAAAGAAAUAAGAGUGGGGGUGUCUCUGAAGGAAGUUCUUAUCACACAGGUUCCGGACAAUCUAGAACAGGAGGGGGACAUUGAAGAGGAGGAGCAUAUGGUGGAAAAUCAGAGAGAGAAGUUCAUUGCAUUUUCUGUCAGUGCUUUUGGAAUAGAGAAUGCAGGUUUUGAUGAUGACAGGGAUACAGAGUCUGAAAACCAGGGCCCUGAAGGUAAAGAAGCAUUGGAGGGGGAAGAGGAGUAUACCUAUGACAGUGAUUAUGAGGAGUUUCCUGGGCUAUCUGAAGAGGAAGAUCCUGAGCCAGACAGAAGAGUCAAGUUUUCAACAGCCCCUAUCAAGGUUUUCAGUACUUACUCAAAUGAAGAUUAUGAUAGACGUAAUGAAGAGGUUGACCCUGUGGCAGCAUCAGCAGAGUAUGAACUAGAGAAGAGGGUGGAAAAAAUGGAAGUAUUUCCUGUGGAAAUUGAAAAAGGUGACAGUGGCCUAGGCAUUAGUAUUAUUGGAAUGGGUGUUGGUGCAGAUCAGGGACUGGAAAAACUGGGAAUUUUUGUAAAAACAAUAACUGAAGGUGGAGCUGCUCAAAGAGAUGGUCGAAUCCAAGUAAAUGAUCAGAUUGUUGAGGUUGAUGGUAUAAGUUUAGUAGGAGUAACUCAGCUUUUUGCAGCCACUGUGCUAAAAAACACCAAAGGCAGUGUGAGGUUUCUAAUUGGAAGAGAGAAACCUGGGACUCAGAGUGAAGUAGCUCGUCUUAUCAGUGAGACGUUAGAGCAAGAGAGAUGCCUAUAUGAGCAGCACUAUGCCCAUGAUGAUACAGAACAGGAUGAUGAUUAUGAUGAUGAUGAUGAAGACGCUUUUGAGUCACAUUUACAUGGAAAGUCUGUGGAAGUCUUUUAUCUUCCUGAAAAUGAAGAUCUGAAUUUGCCAUUGGAUAUGGAUUCAGCACAGUUUCUUCUUAAAUUUAAAGAGCUACAAUUAAAGCAUGCAGUAACAACAGCUGAAGUUAACCAGCUAAAAGAGAGAUUAAAAACUACUGAAGCUGAAAAAGUUGAAUGGGAAUCAAGUAAAUCCCAGCUUCAGCAAACUUUAGAAGAGAGCAAAGAGAAAAUUAAGAAGUUGGAGACCUAUUGGUUAGAGGCACAAAGUUUAUGCAAGACCGUAAAUGAACAUCUUAAAGAAACUCAGGAACAGUAUGAUGCCCUGGAGAAGAAAUACAACAAGGCCAAGAAAUUACUUAAAGAUUAUCAACAGAAAGAAAUAGAAUUUAUGAAAAAAGAAGAGGAUCAUACAAGGGUUCUUGAAGAGAGGGACAAGAAGCAUGCAGCACAACUGAACAUAUUGCAAGAGGAGAUUUCAGAGCUUCAGAACAAAUUAAAGAUACAUGAGAGAAUACCUUGUAUGAUUGGCGAUAGCAUUUUGCUGGACACUGCCUCUCAAAGUACAGAAAAACUAAAUGAAUGCUCAGAGAUUAAAGAAGAAAAUACAAAAGAAAUAGAGCCAUCAGCAGUGGAAAAAUUAGUUUCUUCAGAUACCGAUUUUGAUACUUUUAUGGGGGAUACUCCAAGAUUAGAUACUAGUGCCCACAAAGCAAAAGCUCAGCUUGCUCUGAAAGUAAAACGUCAGCCACCUUCUCGAUCAAAGCUAAAAGAAUCUCUUGAAACUGGACAGCAGAAAUCAGAUCUACAGGAUGAGGAUACAGAGGAUGCUAUCCACAAUAGAGAAAUUGGUACAGCACGUCAAGUCAAGUCUUUAGAAAUAACAGAAAAGCUAACUUUAUCCCAGUUGAAUGAUGCAGAUCAAAGGAUUGAAAAGCCUGAACCAGUGGAAAGCACAGAGAGUGUGUUAGAGUCAAGUCCUUCUGUUUCCACUCACUCUUCUCCAGUACACAAACCGAACAAUGAAAACAGCACAAGUACUACUCACUCUCCUCCUAGUGAUGAUAUAACUCCAAGUUCGCCUCAAUCAUAUUCCAAGAAUGUCAGGCAUAGAGAAUCAAAAGGGAAAGGAAGAGAGGCCAAAGAUGACAAGAGAAAUGAAGACAAGACAGCAGAAACAAAUGAUGGUACGUCAUCAGGAAAGGCCAAAAGGAGAUUUCCAGAUUUUGGAGGUUUACGGAAAUCUGGUGGUAAAGGCAAGAAACAAGAGAAGGAAAAUCCGAGGAGCUCUCUGGAUAGCCGAGGCUCCCGAGAGUUAUUGGAAGACUCUGGCAACAAUCAAUCUGCAUCAGAUUCAGACUCUCCUGUUCCUACUUGCAUACCUUUCUCUUGGUUUGGGGAUAGUCACAAAGAGCCUCAGGUUUCCGGUAGCAGCCUAACCUUUUCUCAGAGUGCACAGGCCACUGUAUUCGAACAGGGUCAAGAGAAAAACAGAACCAAGAGUAGAAUUGUCAUAGAUGAUUCAUACCAUAGCAGGCCAAGUUGUGAUCUGUCAGGGUUAGUGACAGAACCAAAUCUGUCAGGGCGUUCACACACUUUAACCUUCUCUUCAAAUGAGGCAUUAGAUGAUGAAUGUGCAGCAACAGGAAAACAAAAUCAGUGGCACAGUAGACCAAUUUCAGAGUGGACAACCCAACAGGUAUGCCAUUGGUUGAUGGGGAUGAACAUGGAGCAAUACAUUGCAGAGUUUACCGCCAAGAAUAUAGAUGGACAGCAGUUAAUGCUGCUUGACAGUGAUAAGUUGAAGGCUCUGGGGGUUUCCAGCCAAAAUGACCGAGCCACAAUAAAGAAGAAAAUUAAGGAUAUUAAAAAAACACAAGAAAAACUGGAAAAACAGAAAGACAAAGUUCAAAAGAAGGAAAGAGAAGUUCGCAAGAGUGGCAGAGUGGUAGCCGCUGUAGAAUCAAGCUGUUAAAAUGAUUUAGUUUUAUUUUAGCACAGACUUACUUCAUCUUGAAGAAGUGCAACAAAAUUGUAUAUAAUUGUACAAUUGAGGAGGUAAAGUGCAACAGUUUAACAUGGACCUAAGUUCAAAGUCCUGUACUCGCCUAGAAACAGAUUACAGUAACUCUACAACAGUUCAAGAAAUGUCGCUCCUUGUUCUCUCCUUCGGCGCUUGAAGAAACAGAAUUUCAAACUCAAAUUUUGAAAGGCACUUUUAACACCAGAAUUGCUAGACUACUCAUUUAUCUCCAAAACACGUAGUAGUGCAAAGAUACAGGUAAUUUCUGCCUUCCCAACUAUCAACCAUAUUCAAGAGGACAAAGUAAAAAAGGCUUAGAGACCAGAGGUGUGGCUCGUGAUGUCUCAACACGGGGACGUGGUGCAGUUGAAUACAUAUAGUUGAACAGUCCGUCAAUUUUCCUCAUAGGAACACCGCCACCACGGUCGCUUAUCUACAAAAUGAAUGAACACACUAUUAACUUUAGGUUCCUGUAUAUAAAAGAGAACAGAGAAACAAGCUGAUUUUCAUAAAGAAUAAAGUCCAAAGAAAGUCUGAAGACUAUACAAUCUCAAGUUGUCCUUAUUAAAUCAUCGCAUCAGACUUUAUAAAGAAAAUCAUCAGCUGAUAAAUCACAGCAAUAUUAUACACACAAAAUCCCAGCUGAGGUUAAUGACGUUUCCCAAAAUGCUGUCUCCAAAAGCACUGUCCACAAUUACACAGAAUUACUUAGGCUAUGUCUACACAGCCUGCAGCAGUGGGCCUCCCAACCCAGGUUGACAGACUCAGGCUCACACUACCGCACUAUAAAUAGCUGUGUAGAUGGUAAUUUGAAGUUACGGCUUAGGCUGGUGCUCAGGUUCUGAAGCCUAGGCUUCAGAGCAGGAACUGUCUACACUGAUAACUUUAGCACAGAGGCACAAGCCCGAAUUUUGACAUGGGUUGGGAGGUUCAUUGCUGCGGACUGUGUAGAUAUACCCUUAGAAGCCAUACACCCCACUUACACGUUUUGCACUGCUUUUUAAUUCCUUCUAAUUUCUAAUCUUCAUGUGGAGGAAGUUAGGUUCAGUAAAAGUAAGCAAUGGCCAUGUCAAUGGAAUCCUAAGGGUGCAAAGUUCUCAGUGCUUUAGCCAGCACUUUAGGAACAAAGAUGCUACAUAGCAGUGCAAUGUAUUAGUACUCAUUUACUACUAGAGCAAAUUUGAAGAUUUGUUUCUACUUAUGUGAAGACAAAUUCUAAGGAAAACCUAUACGCUGCAGCCAACCUUGAAAAUCCACCACUAAUCAUAUAAGAGAAAUGCUGCCCUUAAAAGAAAUAUCGGCAAGGCAAGGCCUACCAUAGGCAGGCUUAACCUGUGCUGGACUUACUUUAUUCCAAACCUGUUCUGCACCUCACUCAAGUAGUCACUUCCACCUGGUCUGGAUAAACUACAAAUCUGGCUAUCUUUCGUUCCUAAAUUGGCACUUUAUCCUUGAACAGGAGCAUGGUUUAUUUACAUUAUAGCUACAAAAAAUAAUAAAUAUGUUGAAAGGUUAAAGUGAUGUCACAAUCUCCCAUUCACAUGAGACUUGUGACAACUUUAUGAUGUUUCCACUCAUCACUGACCCAAGGCCUGAAAUCCCACAGAGGUCUUAUUCCGUGCACAAUACAUUAUCAGCAUUGGUACAAACUUUGUGUCACAUCACCCAUUCAUAAUAAAAUAUUCCCCGCAGGUUCUGAACUAACUAUUUUCCAUCAAACUAAUUAAGUAUCAAACAAAGCAGUUACCUUCACAGUUAAAUCCUCAUUGCCUAAUGUGACAUGUACUUGAAUUGGAGGGUAAACGCUUCGAUCAGUAUAGCGUUCCAUUGUGGCUCUCAUUGCAUUCUGAGAAAUAUUUAAAAUUAAAGUAAAAUAAGUAGUUUUAAUCAAAUCUUAGAUUUGAUUGUAACUUUUAAAUUGUGCUGUUAAAAUGUCAACUUAGGAAAACAGUUUUAUGUGUGCCCCUAUAUAGAUUGUAUUUCCAUUUUUGCUUCUUUGUACUUGUAUAAAGAUAUAAUAAACAUAUUUCUUCUUCAAAAA